AUCGCGCCCGCCAGAGGACCCAAACUCUUUUAUCAGUGAUGUCUGAGUACUAUAUAAUAGUUAAAACUUUCAACAACGGAUCUCUUGGUUCUGGCAUCGAUGAAGAACGCAGCGAAAUGCGAUAAGUAAUGUGAAUUGCAGAAUUCAGUGAAUCAUCGAAUCUUUGAACGCACAUUGCGCCCGCUGGUAUUCCGGCGGGCAUGCCUGUUCGAGCGUCAUUAUGACCAAUCAAGCUCUGCUUGGCCUUGGGGCCCGCUGUACCGGCGGCCCUUAAAAUCAGUGGCGGUGCCGUCUGGCUCUAAGCGUAGUAAUACUUCUCGCUACAGGGCCCAGUCGUUCACCCGCCAGAACCCUCAACUUUCUUAGGUUGACCUCGGAUCAGGUAGGGAUACCCGCUGAACUUAAGCAU
rnacentral:rRNA from 1 species